rnacentral:rRNA from 1 species
AGGUGGUGCAUGGUUGUCGUCAGCUCGUGUCGUGAGAUGUUGGGUUAAGUCCCGCAACGAGCGCAACCCUCGACCUUAGUUGCCAGCAUUCAGUUGGGCACUCUAAGGUGACUGCCGGCUAAAAGUCGGAGGAAGGUGGGGAUGACGUCAAAUCAUCAUGCCCCUUAUGACCUGGGCUACACACGUGCUACAAUGGGCGGUACAAAGGGUCGCGAACCCGCGAGGGGGAGCCAAUCCCAAAAAGCCGCUCUCAGUUCGGAUUGCAGGCUGCAACUCGCCUGCAUGAAGUUGGAGUUGCUAGUAACCGCAGGUCAGCUAUACUGCGGUGAAUACGUUCCCGGGGAUU